rnacentral:lncRNA from 1 species
UUUAAAAAAUCAGUAUGAUAAAAAUCAGAUGUGAUGUUUUUCUAUUUAUGUAAAUUGAGUUUCCAUUGACAUCCAUGACUGAGAGAGAUUAGAACAGAUAAUAGUCAAGGAGAAACUUGGCUUUGCUGGAACUGAGAUAUGCCAAGAGGAAGAUUAUCCAUCAAGUGCCUCAACUGAGUCUGCUCCAGAGGUUUCUUGCACAGACUGGUGGACAGAGCCAGCAGUUGCUACAAGCCCAAGAGUCAUCUAGAAGUAGGGGAAAAAGUGAUUUGGUUUAUCAACCAUUAUGAUCAGAACGUUUGUGUCACCAAGUUAUUCUACUUCUACACCAAAUCCCAAGUAUUACUUACUACCUGGAACAAUGCAUCUAGAAAGGAGGGGCCAAUGGAGAUUGAAAGAGGAAGAUGAAACCUAAGAGAAGUAAAAAUAGAGCCAGCUGUGGAGCCUUGGAGGUGGGAGUUUGGAGUGGGGAGCAGGGAACUGUGUUUGUAAGUUAGGAGAUUCAGGGGCUGGAUUGUGGUGUAGCAGGUAAAGCCACUGCCUGCAAGGCAGGCAUUCAAUAUGGGUGCCUGUUGGUGUCUCAGAUGCUCCAUUUCCCAUGCAGCUCCCUGAUAAUGGCCUGAGAAAAGCAGCAGAAGAUGGCCCAAGUCCUUUGGCCCCUGCCACACUCAUGGGAGACCCGGAAGAAGCUCCUGGCUACUAGCUUUGGCCUGGCUGAGACUUGACCAUUGCAGCCCUCUGGGGAGUGAACCAAUGGAUGGAAGACCUCUCUCUCUCUCUGCCUCUCUUUGUGUAGCUCUGAAUUUCAAAUAUUAUAAAUAAAUAUUUAAAAAAAAAACA